rfam:Elusimicrobia bacterium RIFOXYC2_FTLL_34_12 rifoxyc2_full_scaffold_2835, whole genome shotgun sequence.
CGGGGUGUGGCCCAGUGGUAGGGCACUCGCUUGGGGUGCGAGUGGUCGCAGGUUCAAUUCCUGUCACCCCGA